ACGAACGCUGGCGGUGUGCCUCAAACAUGCAAGUCGAGGGAGGGUUGGCGUCUGGCUUGCCAGACGUUUCAACUCUACCGGCGAACGGGUGAGUAACACGUGGGCAAUCUGCCCUGAAGACGGGGACAACCUCGGGAAACCGGGGCUAAUACCCGAUACCCUCCAGGGGGGCAUCCUCUGGGGAGGAAAGGUCCGCAAGGUCUGCUUCAGGAGGAGCCCGCGGCCUAUCAGCUAGUUGGUGGGUAACGGCCUACCAAGGCGAUGACGGGUAGCUG
rnacentral:rRNA from 1 species